GGUUAACGCUGGCGGCGCGCAUAACACAUGCAAGUCGAGCGAGGGCUUAUUUCUCGCAAGAGAAGUGAGUUCCUAGCGGCGAACGGGUGAGUAACACGUGGGCAACCUUCCCUAUCGCGGGGGAUAACACCGGGAAACCGAUGCUAAUACCGCAUGUCGUCACUGGUCGCAUGGCUGGUGAAGAAAGCAGCAAUGCACGAUGGGGUGGCCCGCGGCCUANCAGCUAGUCGGUGGGGUAACGGCCUACCGAGGCGAUGACGGGUAGCUGGUCUGAGAGGACGGCCAGCCACACGGGGACUGAGACACCGGCCCCGACUCCUACGGGAGGCAGCAGUGAGGAAUCUUCCGCAAUGGGCAAAGCCUGACGGAGCGACGCCGCGUGUGGGAU
rnacentral:rRNA from 1 species